AAUAGGAGAAUGAUAAAUUGGAUUUUCCUCCAAAUUUUCAGCUUAAUUUUUCCUCUUGAAAAAAAAUCAAAUCCAACUAAAAAUGCUAAAAAUUAGGAGAAAAAAUCUGAUUUGUCAUUAUUCUAUU
rfam:Gossypium raimondii Chr11_contig_573, whole genome shotgun sequence.